ensembl:lncRNA
AUGUAGACGUAGUUUCAGGCCUUUAUUUUGAAGAAUGAGCUUAAACGUCCACAUUGCGUAAGUGGUCAGCUGUUGGCUCUCAGUUUGAUUUUUGUGCAAAAGAGAGAGGCGGCCAUUUUUCCUCCCGGUCCUAGUGAAAAGCCAACUGUCCCGGUUGAUAUAUUAUCGAAUAGAUAUUUGAAAAAACACCUUGAGGAUUGAUUAUAAAAAAUGUUUGCCAUGUUUCUCUCAAUAUCAUGGAUAUAAUUUGGAAUUUUUGUCUGCGUUGUCAUGACAGCUAUUUCCGGUGGAUUCCUAGGCAUAACGCAUCAAACUAACGGAGGUAUUUGGAUAUAAAAAAUACCUUUAUGGAACAAAAGGAACAUUUGCUGUCUAACUGGGAGUCUCAAGAGUGAAAACAUCCGAAGCUCAUCAAAGUCAAAGAAUGUGGAAUCAUUGAUUCAUAUGAAGGCUUGAAGGCAGUUGCAAUCACAUCACAAUUGUCCAGUGUGAUUUGAUAGCUGGGGUGAGAAUGAUGUGUGGCAUGUGAAGUGUUCAGUCGAGGAUUGUCCACACACACACACACACACACACACACACAGACACAGACACACAGACACAGACACACAGACACAGACACAGACACAGACACAGACACAGACACAGACACACACACAGAUACACACAGACACAGACACAGACACAGACACACAGACACAGACACACACACACACACACACACAGACACACACACACACACACACACACAGACACACACACACACACACACACACUAGUCAUAUCUCAGCUAUAAGUGCCUGUGUCUUAGGUUUGAUAUAGUGACUGAUUAGAGCCAACAGUGUAGCUAACAGAACUCUGGUGGACAGAAAACUUUCCGUAUGUUCACCAACUUUUGAUCCCCGGGCUGCAUCAUUGCCUCUAGUCAGGCUGGGAAUUGCCAAGGACCUCACAAUGCAGUAUUAUCAUGAUACGUAGGUGUCGAUACGAUAUAUAUUGUGAUUCUCACAAUUUUAUUUUGUUUUGCGAUUCAAUACUGUGAUUUUACUGCGAUUCGUGUGUUCCAAACAUAUUGUUCACCGUAUAUCUGAGAAAAUUUGUGUUGGUGAGGCAUGGAAAAAAAAGUGCUGUAAACUAAUGGGCUCCUAAUUUUUAAAUUCUUCAUGCCCUAAGAUCAAAAGAUCUAC